rnacentral:rRNA from 1 species
GAUGAACGCUGGCGGCGUGCCUAAUACAUGCAAGUCGAGCGAACAGACGAGGAGCUUGCUCCUUCGACGUUAGCGGCGGACGGGUGAGUAACACGUAGGUAACCUACCUAUAAGACUGGGGUAACUUCGGGAAACCGGAGCUAAUACCGGAUCAUAUUUCGAACCGCAUGGUUCGAUAGUGAAAGAUGGCUUUGCUAUCACUUGUAGAUGGACCUGCGCCGUAUUAGCUAGUUGGUACGGUAACGGCUUACCAAGGCAACGAUACGUAGCCGACCUGAGAGGGUGAUCGGCCACACUGGAACUGAGACACGGUCCAGACUCCUACGGGAGGCAGCAGUAGGGAAUCUUCCGCAAUGGGCGAAAGCCUGACGGAGCAACGCCGCGUGAGUGAUGAAGGUCUUCGGAUCGUAAAACUCUGUUAUUAGGGAAGAACAAACGUGUAAGUAACUGUGCACGUCUUGACGGUACCUAAUCAGAAAGCCACGGCUAACUACGUG